AACACAUGCAAGUCGAACGAAGUAGCAACACUGAGUGGCAAACGGGUGAGUAUAAUGUGGGAAUCUGCCUUUUGGUUCGGAAUAACACGAGGAAACUUGUGCUAAUACCGAAUAAGCCCUUACGGGGAAAGUUUUAAUGCCGAAAGAUGAGCCCGCACUUGAUUAGCUAGUUGGUAAGGUAAAAGCUUACCAAGGCAAUGAUCAAUAGCUGUUCUUAGAGGAAGACCAGCCACAUUGGGACUGAGACACGGCCCAGACUCCUACGGGAGGCAGCAGUGGGGAAUCUUGCACAAUGGGGGAAACCCUGAUGCAGCGAUGCCGCGUGAGUGAAGAAGGCCUUUGGGUUGUAAAACUCUUUCGUCGGGGAAGAAAAUGACUGUACCCGAAUAAGAAGGUCCGGCUAACUUCGUGCCAGCAGCCGCGGUAAUACGAAGGGACCUAGCGUAGUUCGGAAUUACUGGGCUUAAAGAGCUCGUAGGUGGUUAAAAAAGUUGAUGGUGAAAUCCCAAGGCUCAACCUUGGAACUGCCAUCAAAACUUUUUAGCUAGAGUGUGAUAGAGGUAAGUGGAAUUUCUAGUGUAGAGGUGAAAUUCGUAGAUAUUAGAAAGAACACCAAAUGCGAAGGCAACUUACUGGGUCACUACUGACAC
rnacentral:rRNA from 1 species